ACAAACGCACACACAUACACACGCGGGCGCGCACGCACACGCACACACGCACGCACGCACACACACGUGGGCGCGCGCGUACGUGCAGCGGUGUGUUCAGAAAAAUUUCAACAUGGCCGGUGGUGGCACUCUCCCUAGAUUUCACUAGGUGUCAGCGCCAGUCGUGAAAGGAAGAGUCUAUUCAUUGAGAGUCCGCGCUAGCCUAUCCACGACUGCGUCUGCGUCUGCUGCAUGGUAAAGAAAAGUGGUCAAAAACAUGCAGUGUUUGCGGUAUAUAUUUAUCUAGUCAUUGUGCAAAAUAUAAAAAAAGUCAAUUACUGCUGUCGAUCGCAUCAAGUCUGGGAUUAGAAAAAUAGUCACAAAAACUUGUGUGGCAGUGAACUGUCUUCUCAAAAUGUAACUGAAAAAGAAGAGUAUAACCCAGCGAAUGAUGAUACUGUCACUGCAGAAGAGGAACUCAAAAAGUUUGAAGAACUAUAGUAAAAACUGGACAGGCGGGUACUCUUCAAUCAGAAAACGAUAUUGAUGAUGAUUUGCUGAAAAUGGCAAGUGACAUUGAAGACAAAAUGUUUUCUAAAUUUAGAAAAAGAAUAAAAGAUAUAAGAGAGGAAGCAGUCCACUGUUUAUUUCAUCAAGUCAUCAGCCUGAAAGCAUACGAAAGUGUGAAGAAUGUGGAGGUGAUCGACAGUUUGAGUUUCUACUGGCAGUGUACACUUGCAAAAAUUCUUGUGCGCCCAAAACCAACUAUGUGCAAGAACAUGUGUGGAAGCAAGACAACGUAAAGGAAAAUUCAAUAGGAAAAUUCAAAAUUCAACACCGAACAGCUCUGACCAAUAAAAUUAUUUUUAAAGAAAAAUGAUUUAUUAUUAUGUCUUAACAAUGAUAUACAUUCAUGAAUUUGUAAAAAGCAUGGUUUAGCACUUAUAAAAUUUUAUUUUAACAAUAAAUAGCAGUUGUAAAAAAAGUA